GAUGAACGCUGGCGGCGUGCCUAAUACAUGCAAGUCGAGCGAACAGACGAGGCGCUUGCUCCUCUGACGUUAGCGGCGGACGGGUGAGAAACACGUGGAUACCCUCCCUAUAAGACUGGGAUAACUUCGGGAAACCGGCGCUAAUACCGGAUGAUCUCUUGCACCGCAUGGUUCAAUAGUGAAAGACGGUUUUGCUGUCACUUAUAGAUGGAUCGGCGCCGCUUUAGCUAGUUGGUAAGGUAACGGCUUACCACGGCAACGAUGCGUAGCCGACCUGAGAGGGGGAUCGCCCACACUGGAGCUGGGACACGGUCCAGGCUCCUACGGGAGGCAGCAGUAGGGAAUCUUCCGCAAUGGGCGAAAGCAUGACGGAGCAACGCCGCGUGAGUGAUGAAGGUCUUCGGAUCGUAAAACUCGGUUAUGAGUGAAGAACAAAUGUGUAAGUAACUAUGCACGUCUUGACGGUACCUAAUCAGAAAGCCACGGCUAACUACGUG
rnacentral:rRNA from 1 species